rnacentral:lncRNA from 1 species
GAUUUCUCUUCAUUUUUCUGAAUUCUCAUCAGCUAAAACACCAUGGAAAGGCUUCUUCAAGCUGGUUCUUCAUAUUUUUAUUACAAGUAAGUUCAAUUCUUGACUAUUUCUUGAAAUUUUUGUAUUUUUAUGACUUUUACAACUAGGCCCACUUGUUAAAUUCAUUAGUUUUUAAUUUUAUGAAAGAAGUUGAAAGUUUAUAUGAAUAUGUGCUGGAACUAUAUGAUGAUUUAUCAUGAAAUUAGAGCUUUAAAUUGUUCAUAUGCUGAUUUUAUUGAAAGAAUUGAAUAGAAAGUGAAUGUUUGGGACCUAAUAGUAAAAGAGUUUGAAGAUAGAGUUAUAUGUGGAAAUUCUGAAUUCCAAUAGUUGUGUAACAGCUUAUAAUGUCUAGGUAAAGUAUUAAUUGAGAAAAUUAGAUUAAUUGAGGGGUUAAUUGAGAAAGGACCGAAUUGUAUAAACUGUGAAAUUUGGGGCAAAAUGGAAAUCAACAUUUUGCACUAAAGCAGUUUUGGACAGCAGCAGUAGUGUAACUUUGAAAAAUCACUAAAAAUUGUAGAAAUUGAAUUAGAGGAUGAAUAAAAUAUGAAACUAAAACUUAUUAAGUCUAGUUUCUUAUAAAAUAAAUGGUGUGAGCAAUGGAGUGGGGAGAUCAUGAGAUAUAAUAGAUUUUGUGAGACAAGGUCAGAAUGAAUUCGGGUUCCCCUGUUCUGACUUUGAAAAAUCAUUAAAAAUUGUACAAAAAUGAUUAUGAGUUAUAAUUUAUAUGGUUAGAAUCCUUAAUGCGUCUAUUUUUAUGAGAAACAAAAGAAAAUAUUAUCCGAAUUCUGUACAACGAGAUAAUUAAUUUUUAGUGAAGAGUGGUCGGAACUGUCAGACAGCGAAACAGGGGAAACUUUAAAGAAUAAACUGUACUAUUUUGCUGAACCAAAAAUUCUGAAAAUUUUAUGGUAUGAAGAUAUGUGAGUCUAGUUUCAGGGAAAAUUAACGGAUCUUAAUUUGGAGCUCUGUAGCUCCAGAUAAAAAUAAUUUAGUGACUCUGACUCGGAUAAACAGCUUUGAAUAUACAUGUUAGUGAAUAUUGAAAUUAUGGUUAAUGUUGUUUAAGUGUGUUAUACAC